rnacentral:lncRNA from 1 species
UAGUAUAGUGGCAUAUAGCUGUAGAGUUCUUUCCAGCUUUCCUUACUAUCCUUUGCCCAUAUUUCUGUAGACUUAGUGGGUGGGCCGUUGAGGUUGGUGGCGGCACCCACUAAGGACUAUUCUGUUUUACAGUAAUCCUCACAUCCAGUUGUUGACAACUUUUUUCAGAGCCUUCGACUGCGGCUGCUGCUGUUGCGGAUUCGGACAGAGGCAAGGGAGUUGCGAGUUAGAGUCGUCCCUUUCCUGGCCGUUUGCUAGAGAAGCACCCGUCAGAGAUAGUUUUGGGUUUUGUAUAUACUGUUGGUGUUGUGUUUUGUGUACUCGCUGGAGCGAGAUAUAGUUGUGGAUGUUGUAUGUACAAUGAACCUUUUUUGUUUUAUAUACAUGUGUUUGUUUAGCAGUUCUGGACUUUGGUUGUAGCUCCUUUUUCGUUACAGAUACAGUUAUCGCUUCGUAUACACAGAACAUUUCUCUAUAUACGGCGGGUCUGUUGGCGUGCCCAAAAAAACGUGAUAAUUUGGGGCAUGACAACAGUAAAAAUUUUUAUAAUUAAGCCCCCUAAAAAAAAAUCUAAAACAAACCAGAAGUACAAAAAAAAGGUAAAUUUAUUUGCCAAUUUUAAAAAUGCAAUAUGUUUAUCUAGUGUGCCAUAAAUUUUCUUCAGAGUGAUGCAUUUGCUUUUUCUGGAGUUGUUUAUUGGUCAAAGUGUACUGAGAUCUCUUUAACUAUAUGCUAUUUUCAAUAGUCUCCCAAACUAGGGAUGUCGAUAUGUACGGGUACCCAAAAUUUUAUUCGAAUCCGAAUUCGAACGGAGCAAAUUUAUCCGAUACUAAAUGGGUAUAGUUUUGAAUAUAAAUAUCAAAAAUAAAAAUCCGAUGGAUAUAGAUUCAGGUAUGAAUUUUCACUGUACCCAAACCCGAAUUCGAAUCUGACCAGAAUCUGAAUUUAUUUUACAUUAUAUAUAAUAUGUAUAUAAAAUUUGAUGUUAUAUUUGAAUUUGAAUUUUAAAAAAUUAUAUUUAAUAUAAUAUAUUUUAAAAUAUUGGAAAGAGAAAUAAUUAUUUUUUGUUCGGAUUUUCGGGUUCGAGUUCGGGUUCGGAUUUUGGAUUUUUGGUUGGGUUCGGGUUCGAAUAUGGAUUUUUAAAAUCCGUCGGAUUCAGAUUCGAAUUCGGGUUUCGGGUUUGGAGUCGGGUUUGUGUUUGGGUUUGGGUUUGAGUUUUAAAAAUUUGCCCCGAAUCCAACCUGUUGACAUCUC